UACAGAGGGUGCAAGCGUUAAUCGGAAUUACUGGGCGUAAAGCGUGUGUAGGUGGUUGGAUAAGUUAGAUGUGAAAUCCCCGGGCUUAACCUGGGCACUGCGUUUAAAACUGUUUAACUAGAGUACUGUAGAGGAUAGUGGAAUUUCCAGUGUAGCGGUGAAAUGCGUAGAUAUUGGAAGGAACACCAGUGGCGAAGGCGACUAUCUGGACAGAUACUGACACUGAGACACGAAAGCAUGGGGAGCAAACAGG
rnacentral:rRNA from 1 species